UCUUCUUUGGUGAUAUGUAACAAGUGGCUAAGUAACGGCUCAGGCACACUCUACAGUUGACACUUAGCAACCAUUUACACAGUCAGCCAGAAAGCAAAGAGUCUGCCUUAAGAUCACAGCAGGCCCAGAGAACCCCACCUGGAACUCUGAAGCUGCUGAUAUUCUAGAACACAUUAGUUGCUAUGAAAAUGAAACAGGGUGUAGCAGGAGGGCAGCAAAAGCAACUUGGCUCCUCAUUGGGAGACUGAGACCUGACAGUCUUGUGCAGCUGGAGGCAGCAGUGAGACCAUGAGACAGUUUCCCAAGAGGACCACCCCACAGUCAUCGGUUGGUGACUGAACCAGAGAGGCAUCCUGGGCACAUGGUCCCAAGGAGUAGCAGCUGAUGGGUGGGACUGUCAUUUUAUCUCAAAGUGCCUGGGGCUCCAACUCAGAAUACAGUUUCACAUGUCUGCUGUUUUCAGAGCUCGAGAUAAUGCCUCCAGGAAGACCCUAAGGAACCAGUCAAACCAUCAAAAGUCACUCAGCCUCCCUCCUAGGUGACUAAGAGUAAACUUUGCUCAUUAUAAUCUUGUUAUAAUGUUAAAUUCUCUGCCCCAGAGGUCGUCUUGCCUGCCACCUUAAAUGUGCAAUGUAGGAAGUAUGACCUUAACUGUGCUCCCUUCUACAUGUGCUAAAUCUCUCUAGUAUGGAUAUGAGUAAGUCUCUCCAAUAAAACUCCAUGCUUCCUUUGUUCAGGGAGACAUUGCUCUGGGAGUCAACCCCAGUGCGAUUCUUAUUUGAUGCAAUAAGCCUGCUGUCCUUUCUCUAUCUUGUGCUUAUUGGUUUUGCACUUACACAGAGGUGAAUCUACUAUGUUCAGUUAUAUGCUGUUGACCCAAAUGGGACUGCAGCAACUCUCCCAGGGUACCUCUCCUGUGUUGCUGAGGGCAGGUUCCGGGCUGAUAUGUAAAGGUUCCCUCUUGGCACCUGACUUGCUGGCUCUGCAUUGCUGUUAUCUGGACAAACUUAGCAGCCACUCUGAAUCUUAUUUUGAAAGUUCCUUCAGCUCAGUACAUAGUACCAGACUAACUGGAGUUAGCUGAGCUCUAGUAGGGAAGUACACACAAUGGUCAGAUAGAUCUUUGUGAAAUUGUGAAACAUCUUUGUUGGGCUCAAGUGAAGGCUUUUCAGGGAUACCUGGCUGCCAAAAUUCUCAGUACAGAAAAUUUUACAGAUCUACAUCAAGGUAAGCAAACAAACAACAAAUUCUGAAGGUCCAGAGGGAAAUACGGCCUUCUGAUAUUGUGGAACACCCCCUACCCCAGUCAUAUAAUUUUAGAGUUUCAAUUUGCUGAAAUGUUUUUAUACUGGACCAAAUAUGAAUAUUACACUCAGGUAGAGUUGUGGGAUUUGCAUUCUUGUAUUCUGUCUAGGGAUUUUGGCCAGCCUUUAAGUGGCUAGUGAAUGUGUCAGCUUUUCCUUGCUGGGACAAACUAUAUGACAUAAAUUAAGAGAAACAGUUGGCUCACAAUUUCAAAUGUUCAGGUUAUGACUUGCUGGCACUAAGGAAGAAAUGGCAUGUCAAGAAAGCUGCUUAGCUCAUGGCUGCUAAGGAGUCAAGCAAGCAGAAAGAGUUAGAGAGGGAGGAACUGGUUAGGGAUAGUAUAUAUCCUUCAGAGAUAUAUCCCUAGUGACCUAUUUCAA